GACGAACGCUGGCGGCGUGCUUAACACAUGCAAGUCGAACGAAGUGGCGAACGGGUGAGUAAUACGUGGGUAACCUGCCCUCCUUUUUGGGAUAAGCCUUGGAAACGGGGUUUAAUACCGAUUAACGGGGGCUGGGCUAGCGGCCUCUCAGCUUGUUGGUGGGGUGAUGGCCUACCAAGGCCGUGACGGGUAGCCGGCCGGAGAGGGUGACCGGGCACAUGGGGACGGGGAUACGGCCCAGACGACGACGGGAGGGAGGAGUUGGGGAUAUGGCGCAAUGGGCGAAAGCCGGAUGCAGCGACGCCGCGUGGGGGAUGAAGGCUUUCGGGUGGUAAACCGCGGUCGGGAUCGAAGGGGUAGGUGGAGAAGAAGCGCCGGCUAACUACGUGCCAGCAGCCGCGGUAAUUC
rnacentral:rRNA from 1 species